rnacentral:lncRNA from 1 species
GAGAAACUUCUUAGAGAAGAAACUUUAUCCCCUGAACCGAAGGCUGAGUUCUACAAACAGCGCAAGAUAGCCCGGCCACCGCCCAACAGAAGGGAUGGACUGGUUUCCUUCUUGUUCUUCUAUGAAACUAAACGGUUUGGGAUAUCAGAACAGUGUUCAUUACUGUGAAAUCACAAAACAGAAAACAAGUCUUCCCCUUCUCUCCUGUUGACAAAAAAAUUGUGUGGGGCUUCCCUGGAGGCUCAGUGGUAAAGAAGCUGCCUGCCAAUGCAUA